rnacentral:rRNA from 1 species
AUUGAACGCUGGCGGCAUGCCUUACACAUGCAAGUCGAACGGUAACAGGGAGCUUGCUCCGCUGACGAGUGGCGAACGGGUGAGUAAUGUAUCGGAACGUACCAUUCAGUGGGGGAUAACGUAGCGAAAGUUACGCUAAUACCGCAUAUUCUGUGAGCAGGAAAGCAGGGGAUCGCAAGACCUUGCGCUGAUUGAGCGGCCGAUAUCAGAUUAGCUAGUUGGUGAGGUAAAGGCUCACCAAGGCGACGAUCUGUAGCGGGUCUGAGAGGAUGAUCCGCCACACUGGAACUGAGACACGGUCCAGACUCCUACGGGAGGCAGCAGUGGGGAAUUUUGGACAAUGGGGGCAACCCUGAUCCAGCCAUGCCGCGUGAGUGAAGAAGGCCUUCGGUUGUAAGCUCUUUCGGUCCGGGAAAAUACGCAUCAGUUAAUACCUGGUGUGGAUGAUGGUACCGGAAUAAGAAGCACCGGCUAACUACGUG